UACGUAGGGUGCAAGCGUUGUCCGGAAUUAUUGGGCGUAAAGAGCUCGUAGGCGGUUUGUCGCGUCUGCUGUGAAAACGCGGGGCUCAACUCCGCGCCUGCAGUGGGUACGGGCAGACUAGAGUGCAGUAGGGGAGACGUGGAAUUCCUGGUGUAGCGGUGGAAUGCGCAGAUAUCAGGAGGAACACCGGUGGCGAAGGCGGGUCUCUGGGCUGUAACUGACGCUGAGGAGCGAAAGCGUGGGUAGCGAACAGG
rnacentral:rRNA from 1 species